AAGAAGAAAGCUACCGUAGCAAUAUGGUUUCGACCCAUAAAGUGAAUUAAUUAAUUCUCUUCUUU
rnacentral:tRNA from 1 species